rnacentral:rRNA from 1 species
GAUGAACGCUAGCGGCAGGCUUAACACAUGCAAGUCGAGGGGUAGAAGGAGCUUGCUCCUUUGAGACCGGCGCACGGGUGCGUAACGCGUAUGCAAUCUACCUUUUGCAGAGGGAUAGCCCAGAGAAAUUUGGAUUAAUACCUCAUAGUAUGUGAGGAUGGCAUCAUUUUCACAUUAAAGUCACAACGGCAAAAGAUGAGCAUGCGUCCCAUUAGCUAGUUGGUAAGGUAACGGCUUACCAAGGCUACGAUGGGUAGGGGUCCUGAGAGGGAGAUCCCCCACACUGGUACUGAGACACGGACCAGACUCCUACGGGAGGCAGCAGUGAGGAAUAUUGGACAAUGGGCGCAAGCCUGAUCCAGCCAUGCCGCGUGCAGGAUGACGGUCCUAUGGAUUGUAAACUGCUUUUGAC